rnacentral:rRNA from 1 species
GCGACCCCAGGAUGGGCGGGGCCACCCGUCGAG